GGCAGGAUGGGGCGGGGCGGAGCGGAGGCUUGUCCUCGAGUGGAACUGAGCGCGCUACUGGGAGCUGGCUGGGGAGAUCAUUUCACAUGGGGAAGAAGAUGAUGCUGGAGCACCAGCAUCCAAAUGGAGCUGGAGUGUGGCUUGCUUCUCCUGAGAUUUCCUGGAUGGAAUUACUGAGAGUGACAAGAUGUCAUGUGUCAUCCCUGCCUCCAGGAAUACUCGAGUGAGGGAUUCACUAGGUCAUCUGUGCCUUAGUGUUUUCCAGGUCCUCUUCAGUUAUCCACCAGAUGGCAACAGAAAUCUAUUUUAACAUGGCAGGAUUCUGCAGCUACACAUGGAAAUCCAACUGUUUUCCUGGAUAGAAGAUUUACAGGAAGACUGCAAAGCCUUCACUCCUACAAAAAAAAAAAAAAAAAAAAAGCGGGGAGUGGGAGAGAUAACAACAUUAAAAACAUUUUAAAAGAUAAAAA